rnacentral:misc_RNA from 1 species
GAUGAAGAACGUAGCGAAAUGCGAUAAGUAAUGUGAAUUGCAGAAUUCAGUGAAUCAUCGAAUCUUUGAACGCACCUUGCGCUCUUUGGUAUUCCGAAGAGCAUGCCUGUUUGAGUGUCAUGAAAAUAUCAACCUUGACUUGGGUUUUGUGCUCUAGUCUCGGCUUGGAAUUGGGUGCUUGCCGCUUUUACGAGCGGCUCACCUUAAAUGUAUUAGCUGGAUCUGUCUUUGAGACUUGGUUUGACUUGGCGUAAUAAGUAUUUCGCUAAGGACAUUCUUCGUAGUGGCCUCGUUUCUAGGACGCUUGUCCGCUUUCCAAUACAAGUUCCACCUCGUGGACAUGACUUUUUAUUAUCUGGCCUCAAAUCAGGUAGGACUACCCGCUGAACUUAAGCAUAUCAAUAAGCGGAGGA